UACGGAGGGUGCAAGCGUUGUCCGGAUUUAUUGGGUUUAAAGGGUGCGUAGGCGGCCCCUUAAGUCAGUGGUGAAAGCCCGCGGCUCAACCGCGGAACUGCCAUUGAUACUGGGGGGCUUGAGUACAGACGAGGUAGGCGGAAUUGAAGAUGUAGCGGUGAAAUGCUUAGAUAUCUUCAAGAACACCGAUUGCGUAGGCAGCUUACUAGGCUGUAACUGACGCUGAGGCACGAAAGCGUGGGGAGCAAACAGG
rnacentral:rRNA from 1 species